GAGUUUGAUCCUGGCUCAGGACGAACGCUGGCGGCGCGCCUAACACAUGCAAGUCGAACGAGAGAUGAAGAGCUUGCUCUUCAAAUCGAGUGGCGAACGGGUGAGUAACGCGUGAGGAACCUGCCUCAAAGAGGGGGACAACAGUUGGAAACGACUGCUAAUACCGCAUAAGCCCACGGCUCGGCAUCGAGCAGAGGGAAAAGGAGCAAUCCGCUUUGAGAUGGCCUCGCGUCCGAUUAGCUGGUUGGUGAGGUAACGGCCCACCAAGGCGACGAUCGGUAGCCGGACUGAGAGGUUGAACGGCCACAUUGGGACUGAGACACGGCCCAGACUCCUACGGGAGGCAGCAGUGGGGAAUAUUGCACAAUGGGGGAAACCCUGAUGCAGCGACGCCGCGUGGAGGAAGAAGGUCUUCGGAUUGUAAACUCCUGUUGUUGAGGAAGAUAAUGACGGUACUCAACAAGGAAGUGACGGCUAACUACGUGCCAGCAGCCGCGGUAAAACGUAGGUCACAAGCGUUGUCUGGAAUUACUGGGUGUAAAGGGAGCGCAGGCGGGAGAACAAGUUGGAAGUGAAAUCCAUGGGCUCAACCCAUGAACUGCUUUCAAAACUGUUUUUCUUGAGUAGUGCAGAGGUGGGCGGAAUUCCCGGUGUAGCGGUGGAAUGCGUAGAUAUCGGGAGGAACACCAGUGGCGAAGGCGGCCUACUGGGCACCAACUGACGCUGAGGCUCGAAAGUGUGGGUAGCAACAGGAUUAGAUACCCUGGUAGUCCACACCGUAAACGAUGAUUACUAGGUGUUGGAGGAUUGACCCCUUCAGUGCCGCAGUUAACACAAUAAGUAAUCCACCUGGGGAGUACGACCGCAAGGUUGAAACUCAAAGGAAUUGACGGGGGCCCGCACAAGCAGUGGAGUAUGUGGUUUAAUUCGACGCAACGUGAAGAACCUUACCAAGUCUUGACAUCCCUUGACGAACAUAGAAAUAUGUUUUCUCUUCGGAGCAAGGAGACAGGUGGUGCAUGGUUGUCGUCAGCUCGUGUCGUGAGAUGUUGGGUUAAGUCCCGCAACGUGCGCAACCCUUAUGGUCAGUUACUACGCAAGAGGACUCUGGCCAGACUGCCGUUGACAAAACGGAGGAAGGUGGGGAUGACGUCAAAUCAUCAUGCCCUUUAUGACUUGGGCUACACACGUACUACAAUGGCGUUAAACAAAGAGAAGCAAGACCGCGAGGUGGAGCAAAACUCAGAAACAGCGUCCCAGUUCGGACUGCAGGCUGCAACUCGCCUGCACGAAGUCGGAAUUGCUAGUAAUCGUGGAUCAGCAUGCCACGGUGAAUACGUUCCCGGGCCUUGUACACACCGCCCGUC
rnacentral:rRNA from 1 species